rnacentral:misc_RNA from 1 species
CUGCAGCAUUCACCUGCAAUAAUUAUCAGGUUUGUCAAAAGAUAUGGAAAAACACAAAUUAUUAUGUCAACAACAAUAGACACAGUUCUCUGAAUUCAGUUCAGAAUCUGCAAUAUGAUUCCCAAAGGCAGUAUAUAGGUGCACAACUAAAACAGUUUCAAGGCCACGUACAAACAAACAUCAUAAUCCACACUUGUAACAUCUUCCUAAUUCUGGGUGAGAUUACAGAAAUGAGGACCAGACAUGGCAAUGAAGCGGAGUAGAUUGAACAUAGCAAGACAGUUUGGAAAAUAUGUACUGUCCCAAAAAGGACAUAUUACCUAAAACUACAAUGGAUGAACUUUCAGGCAACUCAUAAUCGCAAAUGACCAUGUUCAAAAGACACAUAAGGUUAAGGCAACAAACAAGAUGUAGAAUCCACCAGGAUAACCAGAGAGAGAGAGGAGGUACCUCAAAUAAAGUCAAAUCACUACCACCUGUUAUGUUCCAUACAAUUCCAGUUGCCCUCUCUAUACCAAUAUCCAAUAAAGGUGAUUGGAUUGCAUUUAAUGCAGCAUCCCUUGCCCUCGUUUUC